GCGCUUGUAGCUCAGCUGGAUAGAGCAACUGCCUUCUAAGCAGUGGGUCGGGAGUUCGAAUCUCUUCAAGCGUGCCA
rnacentral:tRNA from 1 species